AACCAGCCCAAUGCUGUGCACUCCACGCGCGCACCUUCGCCUACCGGCCAACCGUGCUCCUCUCCACAGCCACAGCCGCGCCGCCUUCUCCGUCCGAGCUCCUCUUCUCCGCCGAUUCGUGCGCGUCCAGCUCUGGUGGGUAGUGGUAGCGGCCGGCGACGAGGUGCCAGUGUAUUUGCAAACAGUGACCAAAAAGUUGUGCUUUGCUCUGCCGUGGAGUCAUGGCAGCAAAGAUACGUGUCGUGAUGAAGUCUUUUACGAGCCAAAGCAACAAAGUCUCGGGGCUUUUGCCAUACACAAAGAAGGUUGGAUUGCCUGAAUCCCGAGCCUUAUUUACUGUGUUGCGGUCACCUCAUAUUGACAAGAAGUCCAGGGAGCAAUUUUCCAUGCAUAUCAAGAAACAGUUUGUGGAACAGAAAGCUGAAAUGCAUGAGCUGCACAAGAAGUUGUUCUGGUUAAAACGUCUGCGUAUACCUGGGGCUCAGUAUGAAGUCCAAAUUUCUUUCAAGACACGGCUGGAUAAGGGGAGCCUAAAGUCCCUAGCUUCUUGAUGGCUCCUAAAUCUUUCUUACCAUCCCUUCAGUUUGAAGUGGACUGCUAUUAUGUGUUUCGUUGUGGAGAUUGUCAAGCAGAACUUGCAUCCAUCAACAUUUCAUAUGAAGAACUGCUGUAUUUGAUGAAUUUCCAGAAAUGCAGCUGCUAUUUAUUCAGUGCUUAGAAAUCAUGAAACUGCAACAUGAUGUAAUGCUAUAAAUAUGCUUGAUUGUCGAAGCAUUGUGUGGUACUGUUUGCAGUGCAGCUCAAGCAGUCAUCAUGUUCCAACCCUAUUUAUUUUUCAACUAAUGUUUUAUCUUUGUCUA